rnacentral:rRNA from 1 species
GACGAACGCUGGCGGCGUGCUUAACACAUGCAAGUCGAACGGUGAAGCGCCUUCCUUGUUGGUGGGUGGGGAGGAGUGGCGGAGGGGUGAGCAAGACGAGAGUAACCUGCCCCCUUCGUCUGGAUAACCGCACGAAAGUGUGGCUAAUACGGGAUAUCCUGGGUCUGUCGCAUGAUGGGUCUGGGAAAGAUAUUGUUUCGGUGGGGGAUGGGCUCGCGGCCUAUCAGCUUGUUGGUGGGGUGAUGGCCUACCAAGGCGGGGACGGUUCGCCGGCCUGGGGGGGUGGCCGGCCACACUGGGACUGAGACACGGCCCAGACUCCUACGGGAGGCAGCAGUGGGGAAUAGUGCACAGUGGGCGCAAGUCUGAUGCAGCGACGCCGCGUGAGGGAUGGAGGCCUUCGGGUUGUGAACCUCUUUCGCUAGUGAAGCAGGCCUGCCUGGUUUGUGGGUGGGUUGACGGUAGCUGGUUAAGAAGCGCCGGCUAACUACGUG